rnacentral:rRNA from 1 species
UGCAAGUCGAGCGGGGGAAGGUAGCUUGCUACUGGACCUAGCGGCGGACGGGUGAGUAAUACUUAGGAAUCUGCCUAUUAGUGGGGGACAACGUUCCGAAAGGAGCGCUAAUACCGCAUACGCCCUACGGGGGAAAGCAGGGGAUCUUCGGACCUUGCGCUAAUAGAUGAGCCUAAGUCGGAUUAGCUAGUUGGUGGGGUAAAGGCCUACCAAGGCGACGAUCUGUAGCGGGUUUGAGAGGAUGAUCCGCCACACUGGGACUGAGACACGGCCCAGACUCCUACGGGAGGCAGCAGUGGGGAAUAUUGGACAAUGGGCGCAAGCCUGAUCCAGCCAUGCCGCGUGUGUGAAGAAGGCCUUAUGGUUGUAAAGCACUUUAAGCGAGGAGGAGGCUUACCUAGCUAAUACCUAGGAUAAGUGGACGUUACCCGCAGAAUAAGCACCGGCUAACUCUGUGCCAGCAGCCGCGGUAAUACAGAGGGUGCAAGCGUUAAUCGGAAUUACUGGGCGUAAAGCGCGCGUAGGUAGCCAUUUAAGUCAAAUGUGAAAUCCCCGAGCUUAACUUGGGAAUUGCAUUCGAUACUGGAUGGCUAGAGUAUAGGAGAGGAAGGUAGAAUUCCAGGUGUAGCGGUGAAAUGCGUAGAGAUCUGGAGGAAUACCGAUGGCGAAGG